rnacentral:rRNA from 1 species
GCGUAACGCGUAUGCAAUCUGCCUUUCACAGAGGGAUAGCCCAGAGAAAUUUGGAUUAAUACCUCAUAGCAUUAAGAGCCGGCAUCGGUUUUUAAUUAAAGUCACAACGGUGAAAGAUGAGCAUGCGUCCCAUUAGCUAGUUGGUAAGGUAACGGCUUACCAAGGCAACGAUGGGUAGGGGUCCUGAGAGGGAGAUCCCCCACACUGGUACUGAGACACGGACCAGACUCCUACGGGAGGCAGCAGUGAGGAAUAUUGGUCAAUGGGCGCAAGCCUGAACCAGCCAUGCCGCGUGCAGGAUGACGGUCCUAUGGAUUGUAAACUGCUUUUGUACGGGAAGAAACACUCCCUCGUGAGGGAGCUUGACGGUACCGUAAGAAUAAGGAUCGGCUAACUCCGUGCCAGCAGCCGCGGUAAUACGGAGGAUCCAAGCGUUAUCCGGAAUCAUUGGGUUUAAAGGGUCCGUAGGCGGUCUUGUAAGUCAGUGGUGAAAGCCCAUCGCUCAACGGUGGAACGGCCAUUGAUACUGCAGGACUUGAAUUAUUGGGAAGCAACUAGAAUAUGUAGUGUAGCGGUGAAAUGCUUAGAGAUUACAUGGAAUACCAAUUGCGAAGGCAGGUUGCUACCAAUGGAUUGACGCGUGGGGAGCAAACAGGAUUAGAUA